rnacentral:rRNA from 1 species
CCUACGGGAGGCUGCAGUGGGGAAUAUUGGGCAAUGGGCGCAAGCCUGACCCAGCAACGCCGCGUGAAGGAAGAAGGCUCUCGGGUUGGAAACUUCUUUUUAGAGGGAAGAGAAGAAGACGGUACCUCUUGAAUAAGCCACGGCUAACUACGUGCCAGCAGCAGCGGUAAUACGUAGGUGGCAGGCGUUGUCCGGAUUUACUGGGUGUAAAGGGCGUGCAGCCGGGAAGACAAGUCAGAUGUGAAAUCCCGCGGCUCAACCGCGGAACUGCAGUUGAAACUGUUUUUCUUGAGUACCGGAGAGGUCAUCGGAAUGCCUUGUGUAGCGGUGAAAUGCGUAGAUAUAAGGCAGAACACCAGUGGCGAAGGCGGAUGACUGGACGGCAACUGACGGUGAGGCGCGAAAGCGUGGGGAGCGAACAGGAUUAGAUACCCUAGUAGUC